ensembl:lncRNA
ACCUCAGAGCCUCCUGCCUAUCCCUCUGUCUCUCGUCCUCCUCGGCAUCUCCAUGCUUCUUCUCCUCCUCGUGUUCGUCCGAAUCGCCCCUUUGUUCCUCGUCUUCCUCCUCUGAGGAAUCCCCAUUGCGUUUGUGAUGCUUCUUGUGGUGGUACCUGUGAGUUGGUUUCCAAAUCCUCUUUUCUCUCUCAUCCUCAUCUCUCAUCAUAUCCUCAUCUCUCUUCUCCUUUCCAUCACCCAGACUCCAGGACUCUUGGCUGCGUUCUUCAUCUGGCUCCUCUCUCCCUUCUUCUGAAAGCUCCUCAUCACGUUUGUGGUGUUUUUUGUGGUGGUAUCUGUGUGUGGGCUUCCAGAUUCUCUUCUCUCUAUCCUCUUCCUCCUCUUCCUCUGACUCUUCUGAUCUCUUCUCCUCUGAUUCCUCGUCCGAUGAGUCAGCAUCUCGUUUGUGGUGUUUCUUGUGGUGAUAUCUGUGUGUGGGUUUCCAAAUUCUCUUAUCUUUCUCCUCCUCCUCUUCCUCUGAAGGAUCUUCACUGCGUUUGUGGUGCUUCUUGUGGUGGUACCGAUGGGUGGGUUUCCAGAUCCUCUUUUUUCUUUCCUCAUCAUCCUCCUCUCUCUUUUCUUUCUCAUCACCCAGACUCCAGGACUCUUGACUGCGCUCUUCGUCUUCUUCAUCUCGUUUGUGGUGUUUCUUUGGGGUGUACCGAUAGGUAGGCCUAUAUCUCUUCUCCUUCUCAUCGCCCAGGCUCCAGGAUUCCUGACUACGUUCCUCUUCUGGCUCUUCUCUCUCUUCUUCUAAACCCACUUCGUCUCGUUUGUGGUGUUUCUUUGGGGUGUACCGAUAGGUAGGCCUAUAUCUCUUCUCCUUCUCAUCGCCCAGGCUCCAGGAUUCCUGACUACGUUCCUCUUCUGGCUCUUCUCUCUCUUCCUCUAAACCCUCUUCGUCUCGUUUGUGGUGUUUUUUGGGGUGUACCGAUAGGUAGGCCUAUAUCUCUUCUCCUUCUCAUCGCCCAGGCUCCAGGAUUCCUGACUACGUUCCUCUUCUGGCUCUUCUCUCUCUUCUUCUAAACCCUCUUCGUCUCGUUUGGGGUGUUUUUGGGGGUGUACCGAUAGGUAGGCCUAUAUCUCUUCUCCUUCUCAUCGCCCAGGCUCCAGGAUUCCUGACUACGUUCUUCGUCUGGCUCUUCUCUCACUUCUUCAGAAACCUCCUCAUCACGUUUGUGAUUGGGUUUCUUAUGAUGAUACCUGUGCGUUGGUUUCCAAAUCCUUUUCUCCUUCUCGUAGUUGAGGUCCCAUGACUCCUGGCUGCGAUCUUCGUCCUCCGGUGUCUCCCUCUUCUCCUCCACAGACUUCAGGAGGGCCUCGAUGUCUUUCACAUUGGCCCCUGGUGCCUCAGGCUUAGGUUCAUGUUCUUUGCCCUCCUCUUCAUUAGUCAGCAGCUCAUCACUUGUCUUCUCCACAGGAGCAGCAUGUUGGGCACCUG